AUUGAACGCUGGCGGAAUGCUUUACACAUGCAAGUCGAACGGCAGCACGGGGCAACCUGGUGGCGAGUGGCGAACGGGUGAGUAAUACAUCGGAACGUGCCCAAUCGUGGGGGAUAACGUAGCGAAAGUUACGCUAAUACCGCAUACGAUCUACGGAUGAAAGCGGGGGAUCGCAAGACCUCGCGCGAAUGGAGCGGCCGAUGUCAGAUUAGGUAGUUGGUGGGGUAAAGGCUCACCAAGCCGACGAUCUGUAGCUGGUCUGAGAGGACGACCAGCCACACUGGGACUGAGACACGGCCCAGACUCCUACGGGAGGCAGCAGUGGGGAAUUUUGGACAAUGGGCGCAAGCCUGAUCCAGCCAUUCCGCGUGCAGGAUGAAGGCCUUCGGGUUGUAAACUGCUUUUGUACGGAACGAAACGGUUCUCUCUAAUACAGGGAGCUAAUGACGGUACCGUAAGAAUAAGCACCGGCUAACUACGUGCCAGCAGCCGCGGUAAACGU
rnacentral:rRNA from 1 species